GAUGAACGCUGGCGGCGUGCCUAAUACAUGCAAGUCGGGCGAACGGACGAGAAGCUUGCUUCUCUGAUGUUAGCGGCGGACGGGUGAGUAACACGUGGAUAACCUACCUAUAAGACUGGGAUAACUUCGGGAAACCGGAGCUAAUACCGGAUAAUAUUUUGAACCGCAUGGUUCAAAAGUGAAAGACGGUCUUGCUGUCACUUAUAGAUGGAUCCGCGCUGCAUUAGCUAGUUGGUAAGGUAACGGCCUACCAAGGCAACGAUGCAUAGCCGACCUGAGAGGGUGAUCGGCCACACUGGAACUGAGACACGGUCCAGACUCCUACGGGAGGCAGCAGUAGGGAAUCUUCCGCAAUGGGCGAAAGCCUGACGGAGCAACGCCGCGUGAGUGAUGAAGGUCUUCGGAUCGUAAAACUCUGUUAUUAGGGAAGAACAUAUGUGUAAGUAACUGUGCACAUCUUGACGGUACCUAAUCAGAAAGCCACGGCUAACUACGUG
rnacentral:rRNA from 1 species